AUACGGAGGGUGCAAGCGUUACUCGGAAUCACUGGGCGUAAAGCGCGCGCAGGCGGUCUUUUAAGUUGGAUGUGAAAUCCUACGGCUCAACCGUAGAACUGCAUCCAAAACUAUUAGACUAGAGUGUGGGAGAGGAAGAUGGAAUUAGUUGUGUAGGGGUAAAAUCCGUAGAGAUAACUAGGAAUACCAAAAGCGAAGGCAAUCUUCUGGAACACUACUGACGCUGAGGCGCGAAAGCGUGGGGAGCAAACAGGAUUAGAAACCCUUGUAGUCC
rnacentral:rRNA from 1 species